rnacentral:rRNA from 1 species
UGCCUAGAAAAGCCUCUAGCGAGCUGACGUGGUACCCGUACCCCAAACCGACACAGGUGGGCAGGUAGAGAAUACCAAGGCGAUCGGGAGAACUGUGGUUAAGGAACUCGGCAAAAUGCCUCCGUAACUUCGGGAGAAGGAGGACCCCAUUAGGGUGAAGGACCUUGCGUCCGGAGCUCGAAGGGGUGGCACAGACCAGGGGAAAGCGACUGUUUACUAAAAACACAGCAGCGUGCGAAGUCGCAAGACGAUGUAUACGCUGUGACGCCUGCCCAAUGCCGGAAGGUUAAAGGGAAAGGUUAGUCCGCAAGGGCGAAGCUUUGAACUGAAGCCCCGGUGAAUGGCGGCCGUAACUAUAACGGUCCUAAGGUAGCGAAAUUCCUUGUCGGGUAAGUUCCGACCUGCACGAAUGGCGUAACGACUUUCCUACUGUCUCAACCACAGACCCGGCGAAAUUGAAGUACGAGUAAAGAUGCUCGUUAGCUACAGAAGGACGGAAAGACCCCGUGGACCUUUACUAUAGCUUGAUGUUGAGUUUUGUUAUGUGUUGUGUAGGAUAGGUGGGAGACUUGGAAGCAUUGGCGCCAGCCAGUGUGGAGUCAACCUUGAAAUACCACCCUGCUCAUGACGGAGCUCUAACCCACGUCCCUUAUCGGGAUGGGGAACAGCGUCUGGUGGGUAGUUUGACUGGGGCGGUCGCCUCCUAAAGAGUAACGGAGGCGCCCAAAGGUUCCCUCAGGCUGGUUGGCAAUCAGCCGUCGAGUGCAAUGGCACAAGGGAGCUUGACUGCGAGACCUACAAGUCAAGCAGGUGCGAAAGCAGGGCAUAGUGAUCCGGCGGUUGCGUGUGGAAGCGCCGUCGCUCAACGGAUAAAAGGUACCCCGGGGAUAACAGGCUCAUCUUCCCCAAGAGUCCAUAUCGACGGGAAGGUUUGGCACCUCGAUGUCGGCUCAUCGCAUCCUGGGGCUGAAGCAGGUCCCAAGGGUUGGGCUGUUCGCCCAUUAAAGCGGUACGCGAGCUGGGUUUAGAACGUCGUGAGACAGUUCGGUCCCUAUCCUCUGUAGCCGGAAGGAACUUGAGAAAGCCUGUCCCUAGUACGAGAGGACCGGGAUGGACGCAGCUCUGGUGUGCCAGUUGUCCUGCCAAGGGCAUUGCUGGUUAGCUACCUGCGGAAGGGAUAAGCGCUGAAAGCAUCUAAGUGCGAAGCCUGUUUCUAGAUGAGGUUCCUCACUGGGUCAACCGGGUAAGGCCCGUGGUAGACCACCACGUUGAUAGGCCGGAGGUGUAAGCGUGGUAACACGUUCAGCCGACCGGUACUAAUCGGCCGAGGGCUUGGAGU